rnacentral:tRNA from 1 species
UAGCUCAGUUGGUUAGAGCACCACCUUGACAUGGUGGGGGUCGGUGGUUCGAGUCCACUCGGUCGUACCA